rnacentral:rRNA from 1 species
CCUACGGGUGGCAGCAGUGAGGAAUAUUGGUCAAUGGACGAGAGUCUGAACCAGCCAAGUAGCGUGAAGGAUGACUGCCCUAUGGGUUGUACACUUCUUUUAUAUGGGAAUAAAAUGUUCCACGUGUGGGGUUCUGUAUGUACCAUAUGAAUAAGGAUCGGCUAACUCCGUGCCAGCAGCCGCGGUAAUACGGAAGAUCCGAGCGUUAUCCGGAUUUAUUGGGUUUAAAGGUAGCGGAGGUGGAAUGUUAAGUCAGUUGGGAAAAUGUGGGGGUCAACCGUGAAAGUGCCGUUGAAACUGGCAGUCUUGAGUACAGGAGAAGUAGGCGGAAUUCGUGGUGUAGCGGUGAAAUGCUUAGAUAUCACGAAGAACUCCGAUUGCGAAGGCAGCUCACUGGAGUGCAACUGACACUGAUGCACGAAAGUGUGGGUAUCGAACAGGAUUAGAUACCCGUGUAGUC